CUUCCCUCUAUUUAAGCGCUAGCUUGAUGAGCCUCUUCUCUUCAUACAUACAUACAUUGAAACAAAAUAUCCAAAGAGUAGUUAUAUAUUUCGCUCUGUGUAUCAAAAAUCCAAAAUGAAGAAGCUUCUGGUAGUUGCACUCCUGUUGAUGGUGGCAAGCUCUUCUCUAGCCACCAUGGCGGCGAGAAAGUUAGAGGCGGAAGAAAUGCAUGGCAACCCGCAGGAGGAGGAGAAUGAACAACUGAGCGACGAGAAUGAUAAUGAUCACCACCGUAUUCCUCGAAAGGAAUAUGGUAGACCGGGCACCGGCUAUGUUGUCACGGAUGAUAGUGAUCACCACCGUAUUCCUCGUAGGGACUACGGCGGCACACAUCCUGGCCAACCGUGAAGAAACCGUUACUACUGUACUUGUGUGAUGCAUGCUUAUAAUAUUCCAUAAAAAUAAGAUAUAUAAGAUAAAAAUUUAAGUACAGUUAUUUUCAUGUAAAUUUGGUAAUUGAGAGUUAUUAGAUGAUAAUUUAAUCAAAUUUGACAAAUUAUUUAACGAUUCUCAACUAUCAACUUUACAUGAACUUAACUACAAGUAAGUUUUUACUAAUAGAUAUAUAUUAUCCACAUCAUGGUAGUAUAGCAGCAUACUAGCAUGCAUGUAUAUAUAUUCGCAUGCAAUUAUGUAUCUUGGUUUGAAAGUUAUGCCUAAGGAUACCCAAAUUCAUUACAAAUAGAGAAAUGUUAUCUGUAUGAUUUUUGUGUACACUUCUCUUGUAUAUUUAAAGUGUUAAUUGUGUCUUAUGAUUAAUCAUGCAUGUAUAUAUUAUAUUAACAUAAUAACAUGUGUAUUGCCUUUGAUCAAUGUAAAUUUAUGUUUCUA